UGCAACCGCGUUAAGCGGCUGGACCGCUCAGCAUCUUGGGUCCAUUAACAAAAUGGAUGCCGUUGAGGUAGCUUUGUGUUAUAUAUUUGUACUACCUAAAACACUGAAAGAAAAAUAAAAAAAGGAUAGUGGAUUCAUCCUUUACUAGAAACUCAACGAAUUUGGUCAGUUCGCAAGUUAUUUUCAAGAACUGAAGACUCACGAAGAUAAAUUAAAAAAAUAAUCUAAGUAUUUUAUUUUUAAUUAUUAAUCAAAUAAUCAUUCUAUAUCUACAUGCUAAAUAAUAACGUAGUGGACGGAUACGUCGCUACAAACUCAUCGGCGGCUCGCCGCACCCUGAACCGCCAGUGCGUAUAGACAAGUUGGCGGCCAGCCGCGAAGCGGGCCGCAGCUCUUCAUUCAACCGCCGCGGUUAAAAUUUUCAGGGGCUUUAGUGCGUACGAUCACAAGCGGUUGCAUACUAAAUUGGAAAAGCAGCUGGCCGCGCGGCCAGCCGCCCCCGCGGUUAACCGCUAGUGCGUAAGGGCCCUUACAGAACAUGGUCCUAUUUUCCCGCACUAAUGCGUAAAAUAGCACUUCGUGCGUAUCUCAGUUUAAAGGGCCAUAUAGUCAGGUGACGAGCAAAAUUCUAAUUACUUACAAAAAUCUACUUAUUUAGGUAUUAAUAUGGUUCACUAUGGCUAUUAACUUGUGGUAGUAAUUAGUGAGUUUUGCUUGUCACCUGACGAUAUGUACUGUAAAACGUACGAUACACGUGCGAAUAGGUAAUUCGCAACUAGUAGUAUUUUUUCGAAUUUCCUCUUUUCCGCACUUGUAUCGUAAAUAACUAUUAGGCUAGGUUCAUACGGCGUAAUUUUUU